UGGGGAAUAUUGCACAAUGGGCGCAAGCCUGAUGCAGCCAUGCCGCGUGUAUGAAGAAGGCCUUCGGGUUGUAAAGUACUUUCAGCGGGGAGGAAGGGAGUAAAGUUAAUACCUUUGCUCAUUGACGUUACCCGCAGAAGAAGCACCGGCUAACUCCGUGCCAGCAGCCGCGGUAAUACGGAGGGUGCAAGCGUUAAUCGGAAUUACUGGGCGUAAAGCGCACGCAGGCGGUUUGUUAAGUCAGAUGUGAAAUCCCCGGGCUCAACCUGGGAACUGCAUCUGAUACUGGCAAGCUUGAGUCUCGGAGAGGGGGGUAGAAUUCCAGGUGUAGCGAUGAAUUGCGUAGAGAUCUGGAGGAAUACCGGUGGCGAAGGCGGCCCCCUGGACGAAGACUGACGCUCAGGUGCGAAAGCGUGGGGAGCAAACAGG
rnacentral:rRNA from 1 species